AUUGAACGCUGGCGGCAGGCCUAACACAUGCAAGUCGAGCGAGCGGCGGACGGGAGAGGAAUGUAUGGGGGUCUGCCCGCUGGCGGGGGAUAACUACUGGCAACGGUGGAUAAUACCGCAUACUGUCGGAUGAACGCAUAUGGGAUUAGCUAGUAGGUGGGGUAAAGGCUUACCGAGGCGACGAUACCUAGCUGGUCUGAGAGGAUGAUCAGCCACACUGGGACUGAGACACGGCCCAGACUCCUACGGGAGGCAGCAGUGGGGAAUAUUGGACAAUGGGCGAAAGUCGGAUGGAGCCACGCCGCGUGUAUGAAGAAGGCCUUAGGGUUGUAAAGUACUUUCGGCGGGGAGGCGGUACCCACAGAAGAAGCACCGGCUAACUCCGUGCCAGCAGCCGCGGUAAUUC
rnacentral:rRNA from 1 species